GGUAGCCGCCUGGGACCCCCGUUGGAAGGGGAGCACCGCGUUCGAGGAGCCCGGGAGGCCGCUGGCGAUUCCCUCACCAGGCUCAUUUAGAAGCUUCUUUAGCCAUUCUUCCAGGGAUUUCCCUUCCCACGCCAGAAUGCCUUACCUACCUACGCCCACUCCCCAACGGAUACGCCCCUAAUAUAAUAAACAGUUAACAGGGCUCCAAAGAUGCCAUGAUCACUUGUAUGAAGCGCUCGAACGUGACCAUCAAUAUGAAUGAUGGCCGCCCUCCAUGUUAAUGAACAGGUAUUUACAUUUCUACGAGACCAAAGAACCAGCGGGGCAGUGGUUGACAGGUUGCCACAGUGGCUCUGAGCAGAGUAGUGCGCUGACCGUCCUGACCGAGAUCUCCUGUGGUGGAAGAGAACGACUGGAAGUUUUCCUUGGGAGUAAGUACGAAGAAGAGUCAGGAAAAGAUUCUUUCCUGCGGUUUCUGAGCGAAGGCUUUGUGUACUGAGGGAAACCAGGAGAAGUCUGCUUUCAUUAUGGUGCUUUCUUGCUCAAAAUCAUUGGCUUCCCAUUGCCUAAAGCAGCAUUUCCGAAGCGAGUUCCACACAAGUGCUUUUUUAAGAACUUUAAUGCCUCUAAUGUGUUCACGUGCCCUGUAAAUUCCCAAGAGGAGUACACAGAAUCUAGUGUUUCCCAAAUUUGCUCUUGGAAUCCUGUUUUCAUGGAACAUCUCAGAGGAACACAUUUUUAGAAACGCUGGUCCACGAGAUAAAGUCACGUUCUGGCA